rnacentral:lncRNA from 1 species
AAAAUUGCCACAUGAUUUCUAUUUUGUAGAACAUUUUUUAAUAAAAAUAAAUAAAAUCAUGAAUAAUUGAUCAAAUAAGAAAAUUAAUAAAUAAUAAAAAUAUUUUCAAAUAUGAAUUAUUAUUAUAAAAUUUCAAUGAAAAUGAUUAACACAAAAAUUAAUGUUUAAAAGUAAAAUAACAAUUAAAAAAAUCAAUCAUCGACAUCAAACUCGUCAACUUCAUCUUCA